rnacentral:misc_RNA from 1 species
AAAGUCGUAACAAGGUUUCCGUAGGUGAACCUGCGGAAGGAUCAUUAAAGAGUAUAGUGACUUCGGUCUACUACUCCACCCUUUGUUUACAAUACCAUUGUUGCUUUGGCAGGCCCGUCUUUUGACAACCGGCUUCGGCUGGUCAGUGCCUGCCAGAGGACCUAAAACUCAUGUUUAUAUUAUUGUCUGAGUACUAUAUAAUAGUUAAAACUUUCAACAACGGAUCUCUUGGUUCUG